rnacentral:rRNA from 1 species
GACGAACGCUGGCGGCGUGCUUAACACAUGCAAGUCGAACGGAAAGGCCCUGCUUUUGUGGGGUGCUCGAGUGGCGAACGGUGAGUAACACGUGAGUAACCUGCCCCUUGACUUUGGGAUAACUUCAGGAAACUGGGGCUAAUACCGGAUAGGAGCUCCUGCUGCAUGGUGGGGUUGGAAAGUUUCGGCGGUUGGGGAUGGACUCGCGGCUUAUCAGCUUGUUGGUGGGGUAGUGGCUUACCAAGGCUUUGACGGGUAGCCGGCCUGAGAGGGUGACCGGCCACAUUGGGACUGAGAUACGGCCCAGACUCCUACGGGAGGCAGCAGUGGGGAAUAUUGCACAAUGGGCGGAAGCCUGAUGCAGCAACGCCGCGUGCGGGAUGACGGCCUCGGUUGUAACGCUUCGCCUCGUGACGAAGACGUGAGUGACGGUAAGUGGUAAGAAGACACCGGCGUAACUACGUAGCCAGCAGCCGCGGUAAU